rfam:Gossypium hirsutum cultivar TM-1 chromosome 10, whole genome shotgun sequence
AGAGGAGGCAUCCAAAGGGAUCGCAUUGAUCCUUUAUUUUUCUUCAUUCACAAUUUUGGAUCAUGCUAUCCCUUCGGAUUUUUCCUU